GGGGGAAUAGCUCAGGAGAAGAGCAUCUGCUCUGCAUGCAGAACGUCCCAGGCUCAAUCCCUGACAUCUCUG